CCUGCAAAUGAUUUCGUGAUUAUUUGCUGGAACAAAAUGCUAUCAACAAUGACGAACCCACCACAGUGAAAAUAAAUUCAUUACGAAAAUGGAGAUCUGGUAGAGCGAUGAAAUUUGACACGACAACAAGAUCGAGCUAUCUCCGAUCGGCGGCUCAGCAAACGGGAUUCCCUUGAAGCCGAAGAAUCUUCUACCGAGAUGGGUGACCAUAUUUAUACCUCGAAGUGUCCCCUGAGGAAUCGUCGUUUCCGGACGGAUCCAAUCCUCGUCGGCAGGAAUCGCUCCAUCUUUUAUUGAAGUGAUACCACAGUUCGCAAGACAUGUGCUCAGUAAAAGUGCCUCGAUUAGGUAUGCGGUUGCAUUAUAACACGAAAGAAAAGCGAUCGGAUUUACAAACAUGACUGCAGUUCGGAUUGGAAUGUACGGUACUUGACAAAGAUAGCAACCUGAGUUCUUUUUAUCUCAGUACACUGACAUGGGUCUUACCGUUUCUAAGCGCAUGUAUGUUGAGCGACAAUUAGAGGAUUUACAAUGUUAUCAAUUUUUCGGUUCAUGAUGAUAAGAUACUACAUCUCGGCGCAUUAGUUCUUGAGAGUGGUAAUUUUGGCUAGCUUCAGCGGUUAUCAACAUUGAUGUGAAUUACGAACGACGAUAGCUAAUACGAACAGUAUAAGUACUGUUCAUAAUAAUUGUUUUUACAAUCGUAUCUGGUUGUAAUAAUAAUCUGUCCACUGAUAGCACGGCUCAACAUGAAAUUUUUUUUUUGCGGAAUUCACAUUUGAAUAGAGAAAUUUUUGUUCUAUACAUCAAAUAAUAACCAAAAUCUAUAUUUAUUACAUAAAAAGUUCGCUUCUGUCUUUUUCACGUUGAUAAAUAAUACAUCAACACGAUUUUUGAGUCUGGGUUCUAGAUGUCAGAUUUUGAUUUCUUUUACGUAACUAAUUAAAGAAAAAAGCGGCUGAAGUUUGUUUUUGUAGAAACCAGAACGAAAUUUCGGAUUUAAAUAAAAAUUACCUAUUUUCUGAAACCUUUAUUGUAAAUUUCAACAAAACGAAAUUCAGUUUCGCAUUUAAAUCAAUUUUAUUCAAAAAUUUCAAUGCGAAACUUAAGUUCGUCCAAUUGCUAUUCACAAUAAAUGUUUGAGCGGACAGGUAAUUUUUUUUAUAUAAGACUUUUUUUUUUUUUUUUUGAAAUUGAAAAUUAUGCGUACUCAAUAUUAAGUAUAUUUGAUAAGGUACGAAUAGCAGAGUGCAAUUCAAUUUAUUUAUAAAUAUAUUAAAACACGAGCCGUCAUUAGGUUUAAAAUUCAUUCAUUCAUCCAUUCCAUGUGUAUAGUGUUUAAAAUAGUGUAUAUUGUUAAAACUGGUGUAUAUUGUUAAAAUUAUAAAUAAUUGGAAAUAACUGUCUUUCGUCGAGGCACUAUAUUCUUGGAUUUCACUUUUGUUGUUUCUUCGUUUUACAUCGUCUCUCUUUAAAUUUGUCGUGACUUUUGGAGUGUAUAAUAAUUAAUUUGAAAUGUUCGUCCUCGGGGAUUUAAUUUACUUGUUUAUUAUUAUUUCGUCGAUUUCUGAUUUGUUCAGACUUAAUUUCAGAGAGGGGAACCUCCGCACCUUCCUCUUCUUAGAGAGAUGUAGACCAAGCAACUCCUACAAUUUUAAAUUUGUGACCAGGUGCCAUCUAGCAAUAUAAAACUCAAGGAUGAAUAUGCAAUAAUUAAUUAAACGACGUAAGAAUAAAGGUUAGAUGUUACAAUGCAUAAGAAGAAUUGAUUACAAAAUGAUAGUUUAUUUAAAAAAAAAAGAUUGUUAUGAUCCGGCAUUAGUUGUACACUACUAUCGUAACAGAUUGCCAAAAUACACAAAUAUUGAAAUACAAAAAUGCUUCUUACAGGCUUUAUGCUAAUUAUAGAAAAAAAAGGCAAUAAUGAAGUUUUGUAGGUGGAUGGUUACUUGUUUUCACCGGUGGCGCUGCAAGUUUUUCUUCUUAAAACGAAAAA